UACGGGGGGGAGCAAGCGUUGUUCGGAUUUACUGGGCGUAAAGGGCGCGUAGGCGGUCGUGACAAGUCACUUGUGAAAUCUCCGGGCUUAACUCGGAACGGUCAAGUGAUACUGUCGGACUAGAGUACAGAAGGGGCAACUGGAAUUCUCGGUGUAGCGGUGAAAUGCGUAGAUAUCAGGAGGAACACCGGUGGCGAAGGCGGGGUCUCUGGGCCGUAACUGACGCUGAGGAGCAGAAAGCAUGGGAGCGAACAGG
rnacentral:rRNA from 1 species